UUCUCUCUGUUUGUGUUUUAGGUUGAAGAUGGCCGAGAGAGGUAAGCUGUACAGUUGCUGAUCUAGAAGCAUUAGGCAAGAGUUUUCUGAGAACGAUGGUAUGAUCUGCAACACUGUCUUUUUUUAUUACUGAUUUAUUACUGACUAUCUAUUUCUUUCUUUGUUGUUAUUCAACAAGAGAGAACUCCCAUUAAUGGGAAUCAAAAGGAAACCCUGAAAUCAUGUUUUAAGGAUGGAAUGACACGAGUUGGUUCAGAAUUAAUACCAAGAGCUGCAUCAGCUACUGGUUUGGACACCAGUGUCAUAGAAAUAAGGUUUACUUUUGUGCCACACUAACAAACAACAUGUCAAAUAAAUAAAUCAUUCUGCUUCACUGCUUGUAUAAAUGAAGUGUUUUGUUAACAUUCGGUUUAAUUGGUGUAAUACCCUUUUUGCUAUUUUUUUUGUUUUUCAGAACUGGAUUGGUGAUCACAAAUGACCGAUGCUUCGUCUGGGCCCAGGCCAUCAAAGGCCAAAGUUCACAUUAGAGAGCUGUCACCUUACAAUCUUUUUUGUAGGGACAUAUUCAAAAACAAAGAUAGAGGCAAUUUGUGCUGUGUCUGCUGCGUCCAUUUUGAUGAUAAGAAGAAGAAUGCAAGAAAGAAGUGGCGUUCAUGGUCUCAGUGCACAGUGUGCCAAUCAUGGUCACACACAGCAUGUGGCUUUAAAAAGAACAUGUGCCUUCACUGUCAGGGUCAAGACACCAUGCUAACACCCUGAAGAUGUAUCUUGUUACUUGUUUGAGUUGUUUUUACUGUGUUGACGGCCCCCAACCCAUCCAUACAAACACACACACACAAUACAUACAUAUGCUGCAAAUUCAUUGUAAUGACCAUACUUCACACGUAAGAAGAAAAUUGUGAUCUUUUUGUUAUUUUCAUUCACCCCAAUUUUUAUUUAUUGUUGUUUGUUGGCACCAUCAAUGUGGUCUCCUUUAUACAGGACUUAUGUGGGGACCAAUAAAGUUAUAUUGUACUGAA